rnacentral:hammerhead_ribozyme from 1 species
GCACUGCUGAGGAGUCCCAUAAUAGGACGAAACGACCGUCCAUUGC